rnacentral:rRNA from 1 species
CCUACGUGAGGCAGCAGUAGGGAAUCUUCCACAAUGGGUGAAAGCCUGAUGGAGCAACGCCGCGUGGGUGAAGAAGGUCUUCGGAUCGUAAAACCCUGUUGUUAGAGAAGAAAGUGCGUGAGAGUAACUGUUCACGUUUCGACGGUAUCUAACCAGAAAGCCACGGCUAACUACGUGCCAGCAGCCGCGGUAAUACGUAGGUGGCAAGCGUUAUCCGGCUUUAUUGGGCGUAAAGGGAACGCAGGCGGUCUUUUAAGUCUGAUGUGAAAGCCUUCGGCUUAACCGGAGUAGUGCAUUGGAAACUGGGAGACUUGAGUGCAGAAGAGGAGAGUGGAACUCCAUGUGUAGCGGUGAAAUGCGUAGAUAUAUGGAAGAACACCAGUGGCGAAAGCGGCUCUCUGGUCUGUAACUGACGCUGAGGUUCGAAAGCGUGGGUAGCAAACAGGAUUAGAUACCCCGGUAGUC